GACGAACGCUGGCGGCGUGCCUAAUACAUGCAAGUCGAGCGGACAGAUGGGAGCUUGCUCCCUGAUGUUAGCGGCGGACGGGUGAGUAACACGUGGGUAACCUGCCUGUAAGACUGGGAUAACUCCGGGAAACCGGGGCUAAUACCGGAUGGUUGUUUGAACCGCAUGGUUCAAACAUAAAAGGUGGCUUCGGCUACCACUUACAGAUGGACCCGCGGCGCAUUAGCUAGUUGGUGAGGUAACGGCUCACCAAGGCAACGAUGCGUAGCCGACCUGAGAGGGUGAUCGGCCACACUGGGACUGAGACACGGCCCAGACUCCUACGGGAGGCAGCAGUAGGGAAUCUUCCGCAAUGGACGAAAGUCUGACGGAGCAACGCCGCGUGAGUGAUGAAGGUUUUCGGAUCGUAAAGCUCUGUUGUUAGGGAAGAACAAGUACCGUUCG
rnacentral:rRNA from 1 species